UCUCUAUCUGGAGGUUAUUCCUCUUGUAGUCCUUCCACAAGCCCAGGACAUGGUCAUGAUUUACCUGGAGUGCACAGAUAAUCUGAAAAUGUCAGGAGAUCCUGGUAAUAUGCAAUCUCAGUACUUCUAAAUCAUAUUGGAUGAACAGUACCUGAUUUUGCAUAUGCUUUACUUGUGAAGUAUUUGUCCAUCUUAAUAAGUAAGCUACAUGAUGGGCGACUGCUUCAGGUAACUGAUAAGAACACUGUUAUACUUCUGGGAUAAGAGAAGACCAUAUUUUAUUCUUUUGCAGCAAUAGUGUCUGUCUGCAUUGUAUCUGACAGCUUGUGCAGUGAUCUAAUGCAUUUCUUUUCAGAAGUAAUAAAAAUAAAAAUUCAGAAUCUGUUUAUAAUGACUGAAAUGAUGUUCACAAUAUUUUCUGAAAGCUAUUUAUUCAUAUAUUCCAACUAUUAUCUUGUUUGUCAUGUAAAGAAAUCUUGGUUAUGUAAAACAAUGAACAAGCUGGCAAAAAUAAUAUAGAUUAAAAAACUAAAGUAAAAGAAACGGGCAACGGAGUUUGUGAGCAACUUUCCAUCUUCAUGCAGAUAUCUAUCCAACAUAUUAAUAUAUUCUAAAUUUGCAUAUAAAAUAGCCCUCUUCACACUAUCUGAAGUUAUGAAGAUGUAAAAACAGGUGCAUGUAAGGCUAUAUUGAAUGAUAAAGAAGCUCUGUUUUGCAGAACAUUUCAAUGGGACAUGACUGUAGAAAUAUAGUAAGUUUCAGAACUUUUAAAACGUAGCUUUCUAUCUGUAGUUUCCCAGAGGCAAGACUUCCAGAUGGCACUGGAAAAGCACAAUGAUGUAUCAAGUCGUUAGAAAGCAAUAUUCAUCAUAUUAUCAGAUAUGGAAACUGUUGCCAAAACCUGGCAAUCAGCAAAUUACUCUUGCAGUAAAGCCAUUAAAUGGACAAAAUAGAAACCGUGGGAUAGCUGUUAACAAGAUCCUCAACUGAGGAGAGUGCCUGGUUUUCUUUACUUUCAACAUUUAGAAAGUACAGCACACAAAGCUGCAGUACUUCAAUUUUUGAAAGAAAACAUUUAAAAGCUAUUACUUAAUACAAUAAUCUGAUGAAGAAAAAAUAAUUUCAUGGGAAAAACGCAGUUACUAUAAGUGCUUCAAGUAAAUAGUUUUGAACACAGAAAUAAGUGCUUUCUUUUGUCCCUGGAUCAUAUUUAUGUCAUUUGAAUAAA
ensembl:lncRNA